rnacentral:rRNA from 1 species
UACGUAGGGUGCGAGCGUUAAUCGGAAUUACUGGGCGUAAAGCGUGCGCAGGCGGUUUUGUAAGACAGGCGUGAAAUCCCCGGGCUCAACCUGGGAACUGCGCUUGUGACUGCAUCACUCGAGUACGGCAGAGGGGGGUGGAAUUCCACGUGUAGCAGUGAAAUGCGUAGAGAUGUGGAGGAACACCGAUGGCGAAGGCAGCCCCCUGGGCCGAUACUGACGCUCAUGCACGAAAGCGUGGGUAGCAAAC